UGAGACCAAGUCCUCACCAGUGCCCCGC
rnacentral:piRNA from 1 species